GGUUAAGCGACUAAGCGUACACGGUGGAUGCCACCCCGGCAGUCAGAGGCGAUGAAGGACGUGCUAAUCUGCGAAAAGCGUCGGUAAGGUGAUAUGAACCGUUAUAACCGGCGAUGUCCGAAUGGGGAAACCCAGUGCAAUUCGUUGCACUAUCGUUAACUGAAUACAUAGGUUAACGAGGCGAACCGGGGAACUGAAACAUCUAAGUACCCCGAGGAAAAGAAAUCAACCGAGAUUCCCCAGUAGCGGCGAGCGAACGGGGAGCAGCCCAGAGUCUGAAUCAGCUUGUGUGUUAGUGGAACGGUCUGGAAAGUCCGACGGUACAGGGUGAUAGUCCCGUACACCAAAAUGCACAGGUUGUGAACUCGAAGAGUAGGGCGGGACACGUGGUAUCCUGUCUGAAUAUGGGGGACCAUCCUCCAAGGCUAAAUACUCCUGACUGACCGAUAGUGAACCAGUACCGUGAGGGAAAGGCGAAAAGAACCCCGGCGAGGGGAGUGAAAAAGAACCUGAAACCGUGUACGUACAAGCAGUGGGAGCACCUUCGGGUGUGACUGCGUACCUUUGUAUAAUGGGUCAGCGACUUAUAUUCUGUAGCAAGGUUAACCGUAUAGGGGAGCCGCAGGGGAAACCGAGUCUUAACUGGGCGUUAAGUUGCAGGGUAUAGACCCGAAACCCGGUGAUCUAGCCAUGGGCAGGUUGAAGGUUGGGUAACACUAACUGGAGGACCGAACCGACUAAUGUUGAAAAAUUAGCGGAUGACUUGUGGCUGGGGGUGAAAGGCCAAUCAAACCGGGAGAUAGCUGGUUCUCCCCGAAAGCUAUUUAGGUAGCGCCUCGUGAACUCAUCUUCGGGGUAGAGCACUGUUUCGGCUAGGGGUCAUCCCGACUUACCAACCCGAUGCAAACUACGAAUACCGAAGAAUGUUAUCACGGGAGACACACGGCGGGUGCUAACGUCCGUCGUGAAGAGGAAACAACCCAGACCGCCAGCUAAGGUCCCAAAGUCAUGGUUAAGUGGGAAACGAUGUGGGAAGGCACAGACAGCCGGGGAUGUUGGCUUAGAAGCAGCCAUCAUUUAAAGAAAGCGUAAUAGCUCACUGGUCGAGUCGGCCUGCGCGGAAGAUGUAACGGGGCUAAACCAUGCACCGAAGCUGCGGCAGCGACACUAUGUGUUGUUGGGUAGGGGGAGCGUUCUGUAAGCCUGCGAAGGUGUGCUGUGAGGCAUGCUGGAGGUAUCAGAAGUGCGAAUGCUGACAUAAGUAACGAUAAAGCGGGUGAAAAGCCCGCUCGCCGGAAGACCAAGGGUUCCUGUCCAACGUUAAUCGGGGCAGGGUGAGUCGACCCCUAAGGCGAGGCCGAAAGGCGUAGUCGAUGGGAAACAGGUUAAUAUUCCUGUACUUGGUGUUACUGCGAAGGGGGACGGAGAAGGCUAUGUUAGCCGGGCGACGGUUGUCCCGGUUUAAGCAUGUAGGCUGAUUGUCCGAGGCAAAUCCGGAUAAUCAAGGCUGAGGUGUGAUGACGAGGCACUACGGUGCUGAAGUAACAAAUGCCCUGCUUCCAGGAAAAGCCUCUAAGCAUCAGGUAACACAAUCGUACCCCAAACCGACACAGGUGGUCAGGUAGAGAAUACCAAGGCGCUUGAGAGAACUCGGGUGAAGGAACUAGGCAAAAUGGUGCCGUAACUUCGGGAGAAGGCACGCUGGUGUGUAGGUGAAGUCCCUGCGGAUGGAGCUGAGACCAGUCGAAGAUACCAGCUGGCUGCAACUGUUUAUUAAAAACACAGCACUGUGCAAACACGAAAGUGGACGUAUACGGUGUGACGCCUGCCCGGUGCCGGAAGGUUAAUUGAUGGGGUUAUCCGUAAGGAGAAGCUCUUGAUCGAAGCCCCGGUAAACGGCGGCCGUAACUAUAACGGUCCUAAGGUAGCGAAAUUCCUUGUCGGGUAAGUUCCGACCUGCACGAAUGGCGUAAUGAUGGCCGGGCUGUCUCCACCCGAGACUCAGUGAAAUUGAACUCGCUGUGAAGAUGCAGUGUACCCGCGGCAAGACGGAAAGACCCCGUGAACCUUUACUAUAGCUUGACACUGAACAUUGAGCCUUGAUGUGUAGGAUAGGUGGGAGGCUUUGAAGCGUGGACGCCAGUCUGCGUGGAGCCAACCUUGAAAUACCACCCUUUAAUGUUUGAUGUUCUAACGUUGGCCCCUGACCGGGGUUGCGGACAGUGUCUGGUGGGUAGUUUGACUGGGGCGGUCUCCUCCCAAAGCGUAACGGAGGAGCACGAAGGUUAGCUAAUCCUGGUCGGACAUCAGGAGGUUAGUGCAAUGGCAUAAGCUAGCUUGACUGCGAGCGUGACGGCGCGAGCAGGUGCGAAAGCAGGUCAUAGUGAUCCGGUGGUUCUGAAUGGAAGGGCCAUCGCUCAACGGAUAAAAGGUACUCCGGGGAUAACAGGCUGAUACCGCCCAAGAGUUCAUAUCGACGGCGGUGUUUGGCACCUCGAUGUCGGCUCAUCACAUCCUGGGGCUGAAGUAGGUCCCAAGGGUAUGGCUGUUCGCCAUUUAAAGUGGUACGCGAGCUGGGUUUAGAACGUCGUGAGACAGUUCGGUCCCUAUCUGCCGUGGGCGCUGGAGAAUUGAGGGGGCUGCUCCUAGUACGAGAGGACCGGAGUGGACGCAUCACUGGUGUUCGGGUUGUCAUGCCAAUGGCACUGCCCGGUAGCUAAAUGCGGAAGAGAUAAGUGCUGAAAGCAUCUAAGCACGAAACUUGCCCCGAGAUGAGUUCUCCCUGAGACUUUAAGUCUCCUGAAGGAACGUUGAAGACGACGACGUUGAUAGGCCGGGUGUGUAAGCGCAGCGAUGCGUUGAGCUAACCGGUACUAAUGAACCGUGAGGCUUAACCUU
rnacentral:rRNA from 1 species